rnacentral:rRNA from 1 species
UGGGCGUAAGGGUGCGUAGGCUGUGGGGUAAGUCUGGUGUGAAAUCCCGGGGCUCAACCCCGGAACUGCACUGGAUACUGCUUUACUAGAGCACUGGAGAGGGAACUGGAAUUUACGGUGUAGCAGUGAAAUGCGUAGAUAUCGUAAGGAAGACCAGUGGCGAAGGCGAGUUCCUGGACAGUUGCUGACGCUGAGGCACGAAGGCCAGGGGAGCAAACGGGAUUAGAUACCCCGGUAGUCCUGGCAGUAAACGGUGCGCGUUUGGUGUGGGAGGAUUCGACCCCUUCCGUGCCGGAGCUAACGCGUUAAACGCGCCGCCUGGGGAGUACGGUCGCAAGAUUAAAACUCAAAGAAAUUGACGGGGGCCCGCACAAGCGGUGGAGUAUGUGGCUUAAUUCGAUGCAACGCGAAGAACCUUACCUGGGCUUGACAUGCAUCUCUAAGUCGGUGAAAGCCGGCGAGUCCCGCAAGGGACAAUUUGCACAGGUGCUGCAUGGCUGUCGUCAGCUCGUGUCGUGAGAUGUUGGGUUAAGUCCCGCAGCGAGCGCAACCCCUGUGAUCUGUUGCUAACCAGCCUUCGGGCUGGAGCACUCUGGUCAGACUGCCCUGUGAAACGGGGAGGAAGGUGG